rnacentral:rRNA from 1 species
GCACAUUGCGCCCCCUGGCAUUCCGGGGGGCAUGCCUGUCCGAGCGUCAUUUCUGCCCUCAAGCACGGCUUGUGUGUUGGGUGUGGUCCCCCCGGGGACCUGCCCGAAAGGCAGCGGCGACGUCCGUCUGGUCCUCGAGCGUAUGGGGCUCUGUCACUCGCUCGGGAAGGACCUGCGGGGGUUGGUCACCACCACAUUUUCCAUUAUGGUUGACCUCGGAUCAGGUAGGAGUUACCCGCUGAACUUAAGCAUAUCAAUAAGCGGAGGAAAAGAAACCAACCGGGAUUGCCUCAGUAACGGCGAGUGAAGCGGCAAGAGCUCAAAUUUGAAAUCUGGCCCUUUCAGGGUCCGAGUUGUAAUUUGCAGAGGAUGCUUCGGGUGCGGUCCCCAUCUAAGUGCCCUGGAACGGGCCGUCAUAGAGGGUGAGAAUCCCGUCUGGGAUGGGCGGCCGUGCCCGUGUGAAGCUCCUUCGACGAGUCGAGUUGUUUGGGAAUGCAGCUCUAAGUGGGUGGUAAAUUUCAUCUAAAGCUAAAUACUGGCCGGAGACCGAUAGCGCACAAGUAGAGUGAUC